UAGGAAAGCGUUCCGUUCUGCAUCGAAGCCAUUUCGUGAGGAGUGGUGGAGCGUUCGGAAGUGAGAAUGAUGGCAUAAGUAACUUUAACGAAGGUGAAAAUCCUUCGCACCGAAAGCCCAAGGUUUCCCGGGCCACGAUUUUCGACCCGGGGUUAGCCGGUCCUAAGGCGAGGCCGAAAGGCGUAGUCGAUGGACAGCAGGUUAAUAUUCCUGCGCUACAACAAGACCGUCCGAGCAAAACUCGAAUGCGAAUCUUUUUCAACGCCAAUUCCUUCGGGAUGCGGCCGAAAUUGAUUUAAAUGAAAGUGGCGCUAACCGGGGGGUGACGCGGAAAGCGUUUCGAAGCUGGUUAAUGAUUCCAGUCCAAGCGAAAUAGGAGGCGGUUAGAUAAAUCCGGCCGUCAAUUCGAAAGCGCGAGUGCAACGCUUUGAUUCGUCGAAGUGGAGUUCGAUCGCGCGUUCCGCCGGGAAAAACCUCAACGGUGAGGGCUUGUUGUAUCCGUACCGCAAACCGACUAAGGUGGGCGAGAUGAGUAUUCUAA
rnacentral:rRNA from 1 species